UGAUACGACAAGUCUACUUGUGCUCAAGUGAAUACUUGAAAUAAUUAUUAUUUCAUUUUGAAUAAUUUCUACGAACUAUCAAUUAAAAAUGCAGCGCAAUCCAGCUUUCCCCUCCGCUAUGAACUCCGGGUACAAGAGCUUCGCGCCCAGCCCCUGCUUUGGACCUCCCAGAAACCAAUACAGCGCUGGAAACUAUGCGCAGCCAACACAACCCUUCCAGCCUAACAACUGCUUCAUGACUGCAUCAGCGAUCCGGAAAAUGAGCAACACCACGCCCCCCAGUGGUUUCGGCAGAAAUUACUAAGUCUGUAAAAUAUUGCUCACAUUUUACCUGGAAUCUCGAGUAAUUCGUUUCGGUUACCGUUUACUGCUAGUUUAGGUUAAGCAAUCUCACAUUAACUAUUUAUUUAUUAAGUUAAAUUAUGUUUAUUGUGAACGUGAAUACUAGAAAUUGUAUUGUCUACAAUUACAUACGCUGGUUAGAAUAAAUUAAAUUAUUGUGAAAAAUA